rnacentral:snRNA from 1 species
AAGCCUACCUCCCAUUCUGACUCUCGCAUAAAUCUUUCGCCUUUUACUAAAGAUUUCCGUGGAGAGGAACAUUUAUGAGUUUCGACCCAAUUUUUUUUUGACAAGGCUGUGCUCUAAUA